GACGAACGCUGGCGGCGUGCCUAACACAUGCAAGUCGAACGAGGUCCAUCCCGUGGCAACACGGGUGAAGACCUAGUGGCGAACGGGUGAGUAACACGUGAGGAACCUGCCCCGAAGCCCGGGAUAACCCUCCGAAAGGAGAGGUAAUACCGGAUGUCCCCACCUGGCCGCAUGACCGGGUGAGGAAAUGGAUUCCGCUUCGGGUGGGCCUCGCGGCCUAUCAGCUAGUUGGUGGGGUAACGGCCCACCAAGGCAUCGACGGGUAGCUGGUCUGAGAGGCCGAUCAGCCACACUGGGACUGAGACACGGCCCAGACUCCUACGGGAGGCAGCAGUGGGGAAUCUUGCGCAAUGGGCGAAAGCCUGACGCAGCAACGCCGCGUGGGGGAUGAAGGCUCUCGGGUUGUAAACCCCUUUCAGCAGGGACGAAUCAAGACGGUACCUGCAGAAGAAGCCCCGGCUAACUACGUGCCAGCCGCCGCCGUAAUAC
rnacentral:rRNA from 1 species